rnacentral:rRNA from 1 species
GUCGAGCGGAUGACGGGAGCUUGCUCCUUGAUUCAGCGGCGGACGGGUGAGUAAUGCCUAGGAAUCUGCCUGGUAGUGGGGGACAACGUUUCGAAAGGAACGCUAAUACCGCAUACGUCCUACGGGAGAAAGCAGGGGACCUUCGGGCCUUGCGCUAUCAGAUGAGCCUAGGUCGGAUUAGCUAGUAGGUGAGGUAAUGGCUCACCUAGGCGACGAUCCGUAACUGGUCUGAGAGGAUGAUCAGUCACACUGGAACUGAGACACGGUCCAGACUCCUACGGGAGGCAGCAGUGGGGAAUAUUGGACAAUGGGCGAAAGCCUGAUCCAGCCAUGCCGCGUGUGUGAAGAAGGUCUUCGGAUUGUAAAGCACUUUAAGUUGGGAGGAAGGGCAGUAAGCUAAUACCUUGCUGUUUU